UACGGAGGAUGCAAGUGUUAUCCGGAAUCACGGGGCGUAAAGCGUCUGUAGGUGGUCAAAUAAGUCAACUGUUAAAUCUUGAGGCUCAACCUCAAAAUCGCAGUCGAAACUAUUCGACUAGAGUAUAGUAGGGGUAAAGGGAAUUUCCAGUGGAGCGGUGAAAUGCGUAGAGAUUGGAAAGAACACCGAUGGCGAAGGCACUUUACUGGGCUAUUACUAACACUGAGAGACGAAAGCUAGGGUAGCAAAUGGG
rnacentral:rRNA from 1 species